UAUUGGUGUUGCUUGCGGUGUGCAGGACUUCACACAAUUCUCAAUGGGAGAGAACGCGUGACUCCAGAAGUAGGUGCAAGGCCACAAAAAUGGAACUUUAACAGAGCGCAGUCACUAGAAAAACAUGGAUGACAAAAAGUGCCUGCGGAGUGAAAGCAAUAUUUGGCAAAAUCACAAGACAAAUUGUAGAGUAUGAAUUCAAAUCACCUAGCUGUCGAUAAGGGUUUUCAUUUGGAAAUGACGUGUUAGCUCACAGGUCUGGCUGCCAGCGGAGCAUGGAUACAUGGCAAUUAGGGUUUCAGUUUUGGCAUUAUUAAAUUCCAUAGGCUGCAUUUUUUAUAUUCUUUGGGAGCCUUAAAUUUUGAAGGUGAUGGGAGCCUUAAAUUUUGAAGGUGAUACUUAUGCAGUAACUUGAAGGGCGCUCUUUCCCUUAACUCGUUAUUAAUUUGUGUAUAGAUAACCAAUCAAAUAUUAUUUUGUUGCCAUAGUUUUCUUAUUUUCUUAGUUCUAGUCGGUAAAGAUGCAUAUUAUUUAAGUGAAUUAUUAUGCUCAAGCUUUGUGGCGUUUUCAUAUUGGAUACACCAAUGGUUUGCAGGAAUUUGCAGUUUUCAAUGAGAGAGAAUGCAGAUCUCCAAGGCAGCUACAGGGCCGUCAAAGUGGAGUCCCCGACCAUCACUUGAAACAGAUGGUGAUCGCAAAACAAUUUGCAGAAAUUAGAUUUAGGGAAAACGUACAUGUCCAAAUGCAGGGUCGUUAAAGUAGGGUUCCUAAUAGUAGUAUGAAACAGAUGGCCCUAGAAGAAAGAUUUGCUGAGAUCAAAAUCUAGGGAAUGUGGUUGAAGGCAGGGAAGAUAAACAAUUGUUGAUAAAAGAAUGAGUUUGCCUGCAUGCUAGAUACUUGCAAUACUUUAGGGCAUCGUUUUGUGCAUCAAUUUGUGCAAGGUUUAUUAUUAAACAAGCAUAGAGCUACUAAAGAAUAAAGAAUAAGGAAUACAAAAGAGGUUUUUGGAUCUGUCCCUGGAAUUAUAUGGUCCCUAUUUUUUUAUUUUACUGUAUUCCUGAUCAAAUUUGAAUCUAAUGUUUAAUAUGCACAAACAAUCAUUUUCAAUGUCUAAUUCCAUUGCAUUAUGUUGAUUGAAUCAUAUAACUAGAACUGAAUCUCUUUGUUCACUUGCAGUCUACCUUGAGACUAAAACCAUUUGGUUUUUAUAGAAGUCGGGGAUUGCGUAAUUUCAAAUUAUUCUCUUCUUCGACUCAACCUGCCUUCUUCUUUGGAUCUAUCCUUGCAAUUGUACGGUGGAUUUGUCUUGGUCCUGAAUGCAAAAGCUAAGAACAACCAACAAAUCCAGGGAAAGGAUCAAUAGCAAGCAAGCCCACUGACAGAAAAAUGAAAUCACACAAUUUAUUACCAUUGUACUAGAUUUGCACAACAUCGUUAAUAGGCAGCCGACAUUUGGCAAACAUAUGUAAAUAUAUAUCUCUUUCUUUCACUUUGUAUUGUUGUGCUGAUGUUAAAUCGGUUGACAAUGUGAUAUGUCUCUUCUCUCCCGAUGACUUUGAUAAUUGAAUUUAUAAUUAUCUGAAAUCUGUUGUUGAUUAAAUCAAAACAAUAAUAAUAAAAUAGAUUUCAUCUUGCCAUUGCUUUGCCAC